CCUCCGGUAGCUUAGUGGUUAGUGUUCUAGUCUGGUAGACCGGAGGUGGUGGGUUCGAUUCCCACCUGAGGCA
rnacentral:tRNA from 1 species